AUUAGACUACCCCUGUAGUCCAGGGUGUAAACGCUGCAGACUUGGUGUUGGAGGCCCGUUUGGGGGCAUUCAGUGCCGGAGAGAAGUUGUUAAGUCUGCUACGUUGGGGAGUACGUCCGCAAGGAUAGAAACUUAAAGGAAUUGGCGGGGGAGCACCGCAACGGGAGGAGCGUGCGGUUUAAUUGGAUUCAACACCGUAAAACUCACCAGGGGAGACUGUUACAUGAAGGCCGAGAUGAAGACUCUGCUAGAUUUUCAG
rnacentral:rRNA from 1 species